ACCGUUUAAGUUAUCUGCAGGAGAAAUACCUAGUGGUCAGGCUAAAGGAGACCAGAUUUCAGGGGUGCUGGAACAAUUUGUUUAGGGAGGUGCUGAGAGUCAUUGAACUGUAAACCACUUUAAGCCAAGGAGUGCAGCAGCACUCCCAGCACCCUUAGUUCCAGCACCUAUGCCAGAUUUAUCACUCUGUUAUAGCAACUGCAAUGGCUGACUGAACUAUGCUCCCGUUUCCCAGUGGAGCUCUCCUUUCGGCUGAGAUCAAGCAUGGGAAGGAGGGGAAAACGGGGAUUACAACAGAAAUGGUUCCGUUCUGCAACUUUAACUGGAGUGUUCGCUACCAUAUCAGCAGCAUCAGGGUCCAGAAGACUCACAACAGAGUCCACUUUUACCAGACAUCCAGCCCAGGUUCCAGAACCAAGAGAUUCAGACAAGCAGUACAAAACCACCAAGCCUUCUCGGGAGUUCCAUCUCUGCAGCUACCCAGCACAGGUCACGCUGGUAGCCUGAAAAAUGGCAGAGAAGGACAACUGAGCGAUGAACCUACAUGCUUGCUAACUACUGGGCCUGAAGCUGAGGCUCUGUGCUGCUCUGCUAGCCAGGAGAUUUCCUCUAAUAUGCGACAGUGGAAAAACAGAGCAGCUCCCUGUAACAGCAGCAAGACUUGCAGGGAAAACACACAGCCCUGAAAGUUGUGCCUCUAACUUUCCCUCCCCCUCCAUUCAAUUUCCUUUCCCUCUCUUUAUUUCCCCUUUCCCAUUUUCUCUCCCCCUCCCUAUGCUCUUUCCAGGACAGUGAUCAAUAAAUGAAGCUCCCUUCUAACUGCUCACUUGCAACCUAAAAACUAAGCUCCUGUUCCUGAAAACAGUUGCACAGCACAUGGGAGCAUUCCCCAGAUCAGGACCUAGGUUCUCACCACACCUGCUGUCAAUCUGUGGUUCAGUGAGAAAUGGAAGCACCACUCACUCCCUGCUGAACUAAUGAGUGGUAUGGAAAAACUUAGGUAGGCCAGAUACUAGCUGGCUUGCAGAGGAGUCUCCUGCCAGUCCCAGACACACCCAAUCUGCCUCUCAGCUGUUCUGCAAGGAGAAGUCAUGAGCUGGCUCCCAAUGAACAGCAGAGGAGGAGGGGAGCCACUGAGAACUGCAAGUAUGAAACACAGCAGCAUAAUAGGUGCUCUCACCUCCUGCGGGGGUUUCUGCAAGGCAGUGUCUAUGCUAAAUGUGGGAUGGAACACAGGUAGGAACAAGUGGUUAAUUAACCAGGCAUGUUAAUU